UGCAGAGGAGUGGAAACGGCUACUCUAACUCUGAUCCAGUGUCCGUUUUCCUUUGAGGAUGUGACUGUGUAUUUCACCGAUGCUGAGUGGGCCCUGCUGGAUCCGGGCCAAAAAGUUCUCUAUGCAGAAGUAAUGCUGGACAACUAUGAGAGCGUGGCCUGUCUGGAAGCUAGGAAUGUAAGAGAAACUUCACUGGAGACAGAUAAAGGCCUUGC